rnacentral:rRNA from 1 species
CUACGGGUCUGCAGUGGGGAAUAUUGCACAAUGGAGGAAACUCUGAUGCAACAACGCCGCGUGGAGGAUGACACUUUUCGGAGCGUAAACUCCUUUUAUAUAGGAAGAAGAUGACGGUACUAUAUGAAUAAGCGCCGGCUAACUCCGUGCCAGCAGCCGCGGUAAUACGGAGGGCGCAAGCGUUACUCGGAAUCACUGGGCGUAAAGAGCGUGUAGGCGGAUUAAAAAGUCAGAAGUGAAAUCCUAUAGCUUAACUAUAGAACUGCUUCUGAAACUCUUAAUCUAGAAUAUGGGAGAGGUAGAUGGAAUUUCUGGUGUAGGGGUAAAAUCCGUAGAGAUCAGAAGGAAUACCGAUUGCGAAGGCGAUCUACUAGAACAUUAUUGACGCUGAGACGCGAAAGCGUGGGGAGCAAACAGGAUUAGAUACCCGCGUAGUC